rnacentral:rRNA from 1 species
UGCCAGACUCCUACGGGAGGCAGCAGUAGGGAAUCUUUCACAAUGGGCGAAAGCCUGAUGGAGCAACGCCGCGUGCAGGAUGAAGGCCUUCGGGUUGUAAACUGCUUUUAUAAGCGAGAAAUAUGAUGGUAACUUAUGAAUAAGGAUCGGCUAACUACGUGCCAGCAGCCGCGGUCAUACGUAGGAUCCGAGCAUUAUCCGGAGUGACUGGGUGUAAAGAGUUGCGUAGGUGGCAGCGCAAGUCUGGAGUGAAAUCCCAUGGCUUAACCAUGGAACUGCUUUGGAAACUGUGCAGCUGGAGUGCAGGAGAGGUAAGCGGAAUUCCUAGUGUAGCGGUGAAAUGCGUAGAUAUUAGGAGGAACACCAGUGGCGAAGGCGGCUUACUGGACUGUAACUGACGUUGAGGCUCGAAAGCGUGGGGAGCAAACAGGAUUAGAUACCCGAGUA